rnacentral:rRNA from 1 species
UACGUAGGGGGCAAGCGUUGUCCGGAAUUAUUGGGCGUAAAGAGCGCGUAGGCGGUCCGGUAAGUCGGUUGUGAAAGUCGGGGGCUCAACCCUCGGAUGCCGAUCGAUACUGUCGGGCUAGAGUCCGGAAGAGGCGAGUGGAAUUCCUGGUGUAGCGGUGAAAUGCGCAGACAUCAGGAGGAACACCCGUGGCGAAGGCGGCUCUCUGGGACGGUACUGACGCUGAGACGCGAAAGCGUGGGGAGCGAACAGG